rnacentral:rRNA from 1 species
GACGAACGCUGGCGGCGUGCUUAACACAUGCAAGUCGAACGGAAGGGCCCUGCUUUUGUGGGGUGCUCGAGUGGCGAACGGGUGAGUAACACGUGAGUAACCUGCCCUUGACUUUGGGAUAACUUCAGGAAACUGGGGCUAAUACCGGAUAGGAGCUCCUGCUGCAUGGUGGGGGUUGGAAAGUUUCGGCGGUUGGGGAUGGACUCGCGGCUUAUCAGCUUGUUGGUGGGGUAGUGGCUUACCAAGGCUUUGACGGGUAGCCGGCCUGAGAGGGUGACCGGCCACAUUGGGACUGAGAUACGGCCCAGACUCCUGCGGGAGGCAGCAGUGGGGAAUAUUGCACAAUGGGCGGAAGCCUGAUGCAGCAACGCCGCGUGCGGGAUGACGGCCUUCGGGUUGUAAACCGCUUUCGCCUGUGACGAAGCGUGAGUGACGGUAAUGGGUAAAGAAGCACCGGCUAACUACGUG